AUAACGACUCUCGGCAACGGAUAUCUCGGCUCUCGCAUCGAUGAAGAACGUASCGAAAUGCGAUACUUGGUGUGAAUUGCAGAAUCCCGUGAACCAUCGAGUCUUUGAACGCAAGUUGCGCCCCAAGCCUUCUGGCUGAGGGCACGUCUGCCUGGG
rnacentral:rRNA from 1 species